rnacentral:lncRNA from 12 species
GUGUGUGCGCGCGCACGUGUGUGUGGAGUGUUUUAGUCACAGAAGAGGGGUGAGAAGAGGAAGGGAGCAUUUACAUAGAACCCCCAAUUUUCCUUGAAUCCCAGGGAGUUAAUUAUUUCAGGAUACUGUGGCCACCUGCUGAGGCUUAUUGAGCUGGCUUUCUGGGUCCCUGGAGUGGGCACAUGGCAUGAGAGUCCACAUGUGAAGAAGAGAAACCAGAGACCUGAGUGACUCCAUCUGAGCUGGAGAGAGCACAGAUGAAGGUGAGUUUGGAGGCCAGCAAGAGGGAGUAAAGGUGAGACAAACUGCCAUGGGCCCAGGUAGGCAAGGAGAGUAACCAGAAGUGAAGAGCAGGGCUCUGAGGAU